rnacentral:misc_RNA from 1 species
GAGAGAGAAAGAGAGAGAGAACAUGCAAGGAACUUGACAAUUGUAGGUGUUGAUUGAUUUAAGCUUGUGUUUUGGCAGUUUAGAGGUUCAUGAUGAUAGAGAAAAUUCCUCAAAGGACCUUAAGGUUCUGACAUGUCAUACAAGCUUAUAUACGAAACACAAAUUGGCACAGCUCAUAACAAAAUCAAUUAAUUAAAUAUUAUUAACAUUAUCAGGUAGAAUUGAUUUUUUUUCCUUAACAUAUUAGGAUUCAGAACUGGCCUUGAACAGAAACAUUCACUUUUUUCAUUCUUUGACCUGCAUCUGUGAAAGUUAAACAGUUUCAUCCAUUUCUUUGGGUCUUUAUACAACCUUAGAUUUAGAGCUGCUAAACUCUUUUGGCCGUUUCAAAUUCAAUACUUCAACCCAGGUUAUUUUGGAUCUGCCCACUCAUUUUCUUCUCUUCUAUGAAAAAAAUUUCUAUAAACUCAAGCUUCUGCACACCGUUGUUGUUUUACAUUGGACAUGCGCAAACCAUCUCAAUCAACCUUGCUCAACUCAUCUUCAUCUCUUUUCUCUAUAUCAAUAAAAACAACACAACACCAAGCCACCAGCAAGGAUUUUAAUUUUCUCAAAUCACAACAUAAGUAAAUUAGUCUUCACAAGCUCCAAGGACAGGAAUCACCAUUUGAAAUGCCUCCGUAUCUAUCUAUAUACCUUUUACAGGUAGAAAUAGAAUAGUCAACAUCUAAAUAGCUGUCUAGAACAUAUACGUACACAAACACAUUCAGAUCACUUAAUAAAUUCUAAAUAAAGGAUUCUAUUCCUUAUAGAAGCAAGCCAAGGUCCUCUUGAAACAUUAAACCCUUAUGAAUCAAAAGACAAACCAGAAUGUUAGUGGAAUGAUAUCAAUUUUAAUUGGACUUCUGUUACUUGGUUCAAAGAAUGCAUACAAAAGGAAGGACUUCUGAUUUAACAGAGAUCCUGUCUUCUCAUCUUGCUAAAGAAAAUUCUACAUGUAAUGGCAAAAAUGUGAUUAUAAAAACAGUGCUUAUAGUAAAAUUAACCCUGCAAGCAGUAACAAAAGUGAAUUGUAUACAGCUGUUUGUCUGAUGAUACACGCUAGCG